rnacentral:rRNA from 1 species
AAACCUUCGGGCGGAAGCCUUCAUUUCGAGUGGCGGACGGGUGAGUAACGCGUGGGUAACCUGCCUCAUACAGGGGGAUAACAGUUGGAAACGACUGUUAAUACCGCAUAAGACCACAGCACCGCAUGGUGCGGGGGUAAAAACUCCGGUGGUAUGAGAUGGACCCGCGUUCGAUUAGCCAGUUGGCGGGGUAACGGCCCACCAAAGCGACGAUCGAUAGCCGAUCUGAGAGGAUGACCGGCCACAUUGGGACUGAGACACGGCCCAAACUCCUACGGGAGGCAGCAGUGGGGAAUAUUGCACAAUGGGGGAAACCCUGAUGCAGCGACGCCGCGUGAGUGAAGAAGUACUUCGGUAUGUAAAGCUCUAUCAGCAGGGAAGAAAAUGACGGUACCUGAGUAAGAAGCCCCGGCUAACUACGUGCCAGCAGCCGCGGUAAUACGUAGGGGGCAAGCGUUAUCCGGAUUUACUGGGUGUAAAGGGAGCGCAGACGGUUGCGCAAGUCUGAAGUGAAAUCCCGAGGCUUAACCACGGGACUGCUUUGGAAACUGUGCGACUUGAGUAUCGGAGGGGCAGGCGGAAUUCCUAGUGUAGCGGUGAAAUGCGUAGAUAUUAGGAAGAACACCGGUGGCGAAGGCGGCCUGCUGGACGAAAACUGACGUUGAGGCUCGAAGGCGUGGGGAGCAAACAGGAUUAGAUACCCUGGUAGUCCACGCGGUAAACGAUGAAUACUAGGUGUUGGUGCCCCAAGGGCAUCG